rnacentral:ncRNA from 1 species
AGAUGACCGAUGACGGAGAAAAGUAUAACAGGCAUUUGCUGGUAAAGAGAGAUAGGUUCCUAGGCUGUAAAACCUAUCGCAGUUAAACUGUUAGAAAGACACUCCAGAGGCUUCUUGCUAAAAGGCGAAUAUGCGCUGAGUAAGUAAGAACGUUGACAGGCGUUAACUGUUUUGAGUGGAGGAGCUUUUUUGUUCUUCAAUUUAGGGUGGUACCACGGGUUAACUCUCGUCCCUUGU